rnacentral:rRNA from 1 species
UACAGAGGGUGCAAGCGUUGUUCGGAAUUAUUGGGCGUAAAGCGCGUGUAGGCGGCCUUGCAAGUCGGGUGUGAAAGCCCUCAGCUUAACUGAGGAAGUGCGCCCGAAACUGCAUGGCUUGAGUACCGGAGAGGAUGGCGGAAUUCUCGAAGUAGAGGUGAAAUUCGUAGAUAUCGGGAGGAACACCGGUGGCGAAGGCGGCCAUCUGGACGGAUACUGACGCUGAGACGCGAAAGCGUGGGUAGCAAACAGG